rnacentral:misc_RNA from 1 species
GAUGAAGAACUUAGCGAAAUGCGAUAAGUAAUGCGAAUUGCAGAAUUUCCGUGAGUCAUCGAAUCUUUGAACGCACAUUGCGCCCACUGGUAUUCCGGUGGGCAUGCCUGUUCGAGCGUCAUUAUCCUCCCUCAAACCCCGGGUUUGGUGUUGGACCCAAGUUGUGUGAACAACUGGUCUCAAAGACAAUGACGGCGUCCGUGGGACCCUCGGUGCAACGAGCUUUUAGGAGCACGCGCCGAGUUGCAAGGACCUUCCGGGCCGGUCUCCUUUACUAUUUUACAAGGUUGACCUCGGAUCAGGUAGGAAUACCCGCUGAACUUAAGCAUAUCAAUAAGCGGAGGA